AUGUGCAGAGGGACGGUGGACGACCUCCGCCCGCUCGGGCCCCGGCGGCUCGACGUGCGCGCCUUCUACCUCCGCCUCUCCUCCUCCUCCUCCCACGCAUCCACGUCGCCGCUGCCCGCGGAGCUCACGCUCGUCUACCUCCCGGCCAUCGGCGGCGCCGCGCUGGAGCUGGCCGGCCGCGUGCUCCCGCCGGCGUGCCCCGCCGAGGCCAACCUCCUGCGCGUCCGCGGCGUGGCCGACGACGCGCCGGCGUACGCGAGCGCCGACCGCGUCUCGGCCCCCGAGGGCGCGCGCUUCGAGGUGUACGCCGGGAAGGAGCUCGCGGCGGAGGGCGCCUUCUUCGCGCGGCGCCGGCUCGACGGAGGAGGGUGGCGCGUCGAGUGCCGCCGGCCGGCCGGGUCGCGCUCGCACACGCGGGUGGCGGAGGUGCUGGUCCUCGCGGAGGGCGGCGUGCUCAUAAGGGCCAGGGCUAGGGCGGCGAGGCGGGCCCGGUGCGCGACGCCGCUCGAGGGGAUACCGGAGGAGGAGGAUGCGUCCUCGUGGGGGUCGUGCGAGUGCGGUGGGGCUUGCGGGGACGAGUGGCAGAUGGUCGGAGACAGCAGCAGCGAUGAUGACGACGGCGACGAGUCGAAGGAGGAGGAGGUGGAGGCCGAGACGAUGCGGUGGGCGCUGGAGAUGGGCGCCUGGGCGGUGUGCGUCGGGGUCGGCCUGCUCGCCACCGCCCGCCGGUUCAGCCGGAGGAGGGCCGCGCUCCGGUGA
rnacentral:rRNA from 1 species